UACGUAGGGUGCGAGCGUUGUCCGGAUUUAUUGGGCGUAAAGAGCUCGUAGGCGGUCUGUCACGUCGAUUGUGAAAACUCGGGGCUCAACCCCGGGCCUGCAGUCGAUACGGGCAGACUAGAGUGUGGUAGGGGAGACUGGAAUUCCUGGUGUAGCGGUGAAAUGCGCAGAUAUCAGGAGGAACACCGGUGGCGAAGGCGGGUCUCUGGGCCACAACUGACGCUGAGAAGCGAAAGCGUGGGGAGCGAACAGG
rnacentral:rRNA from 1 species